rnacentral:rRNA from 1 species
CCUACGGGAGGCUGCAGUGGGGAAUAUUGGACAAUGGGGGGAACCCUGAUCCAGCCAUGCCGCGUGUGUGAAGAAGGCCCUCGGGUUGUAAAGCACUUUCAGUGAGGAAGAACGCCUGGUGGUUAAUACCCAUCAGGAAAGACAUCACUCACAGAAGAAGCACCGGCUAACUCCGUGCCAGCAGCCGCGGUAAUACGGAGGGUGCGAGCGUUAAUCGGAAUUACUGGGCGUAAAGCGCGCGUAGGUGGCUUGAUAAGCCGGUUGUGAAAGCCCCGGGCUCAACCUGGGAACGGCAUCCGGAACUGUCAAGCUAGAGUGCAGGAGAGGAAGGUAGAAUUCCCGGUGUAGCGGGGAAAUGCGUAGAGAUCGGGAGGAAUACCAGUGGCGAAGGCGGCCUUCUGGACUGACACUGACACUGAGGUGCGAAAGCGUGGGUAGCAAACAGGAUUAGAUACCCGGGUAGUC